rnacentral:rRNA from 1 species
CCUACGGGUGGCAGCAGUGGGGAAUAUUGGGCAAUGGGCGCAAGCCUGACCCAGCAACGCCGCGUGAAGGAAGAAGGCUUUCGGGUUGUAAACUUCUCUUCUGAGGGACGAAGAAAGUGACGGUACCUCAGGAAUAAGCCACGGCUAACUACGUGCCAGCAGCCGCGGUAAUACGUAGGUGGCAAGCGUUAUCCGGAUUUAUUGGGUGUAAAGGGCGUGUAGGCGGGAAAGCAAGUCAGAUGUGAAAACUCAGGGAUCAACCCUGAGCCUGCAUUUGAAACUGUUUUUCUUGAGUGCUGGAGAGGCAAUCGGAAGUCCGGGUGUAGCGGGGAAAUGCGUAGAUACACGGAGGAACACCAGUGGCGAAGGCGGAUUGCUAGACAGUAACUGACGCUGAGGCGCGAAAGCGUGGGGAGCAAACAGGAUUAGAUACCCCAGUAGUC